rnacentral:rRNA from 1 species
CGGGUGAGUAACACGUAUCCAACCUGCCGUCUACUCUUGGACAGCCUUCUGAAAGGAAGAUUAAUACAAGAUGGCAUCAUGAGUCCGCAUGUUCACAUGAUUAAAGGUAUUCCGGUAGACGAUGGGGAUGCGUUCCAUUAGAUAGUAGGCGGGGUAACGGCCCACCUAGUCUUCGAUGGAUAGGGGUUCUGAGAGGAAGGUCCCCCACAUUGGAACUGAGACACGGUCCAAACUCCUACGGGAGGCAGCAGUGAGGAAUAUUGGUCAAUGGGCGAGAGUCUGAACCAGCCAAGUAGCGUGAAGGAUGACUGCCCUAUGGGUUGUAAACUUCUUUUAUAAAGGAAUAAAGUCGGGUAUGGAUACCCGUUUGC